rnacentral:rRNA from 1 species
CGGUGGCGAUAGCGAAGUGGAUACACCUGUUCCCAUCCCGAACACAGAAGUUAAGCACUUCAACGGCGACAAUAGUUGGGCGUGCCCCUGCGAAGAUAGCAAGCUGCUGG